UACGUAGGGUGCGAGCGUUAAUCGGAAUUACUGGGCGUAAAGCGUGCGCAGGCGGUUCGUUGUGUCGGCGGUGAAAGCCCCGGGCUCAACCUGGGAAUGGCCGUUGAAACUGGCGAACUGGAGUGUGGCAGAGGGGGGUGGAAUUCCGCGUGUAGCAGUGAGAUGCGUAGAGAUGCGGAGGAACACCGAUGGCGAAGGCAGCCCCCUGGGCUGACACUGACGCUCAGGCACGAAAGCGUGGGUAGCAAACAGG
rnacentral:rRNA from 1 species